rnacentral:rRNA from 1 species
GUAGGGAAUCUUCCGCAAUGGACGCAAGUCUGACGGAGCAACGCCGCGUGAGUGACGAAGGUUUUCGGAUCGUAAAACUCUGUUGUGAGGGAAGAACACGUACCAACUAACUAUUGGUACCUUGACGGUACCUCACCAGAAAGCCACGGCUAACUACGUGCCAGCAGCCGCGGUAAUACGUAGGUGGCAAGCGUUGUCCGGAAUUAUUGGGCGUAAAGCGCGCGCAGGCGGUUCCUUAAGUCUGAUGUGAAAGCCCACGGCUCAACCGUGGAGGGUCAUUGGAAACUGGGGAACUUGAGUGCAGAAGAGGAAAGUGGAAUUCCACGUGUAGCGGUGAAAUGCGUAGAGAUGUGGAGGAACACCAGUGGCGAAGGCGACUUUCUGGUCUGUAACUGACGCUGAGGCGCGAAAGCGUGGGGAGCAAACAGGAUUAGAUACCCCUGUAGUCC